rnacentral:sRNA from 1 species
UGCUGGGAUUGCAGGCAUGAGCCACUCACCCUCCUGUUUACAACUAAUUGAUCACAACCAGUUAUGGAUUUGUUUGUUCCUUCUCCACUCCCACUGUUUCAUUUGUCUAGCCUUAA